UCAGCACCCAAGUUCCCCCAGACACUCCUUUGCAAAGGCAGAGGGGUCCCAGGCCUGCCUGUGCAGAGGGCUGCCCCAGAGGCUGAAACCCAGUGAUUAAGAACCCCUGCUGGACCUGAAUAAAUACAAUGCCUUACAUACCAGAUGGACAACGUGGAUGCUGUUUUUCAUCUGCUGACAGUUAUCGCCGGGUUUUCCGGACGUGGACUGUCAGCCCGUGACUAAAGAAUAACCGGGGCGGGCCCGAGGGCGCGGCGAAGCCCUUGAGGUCUCUCAGGGUGAGCGCCCCUGGGUGGAGUUCCGAGGGGCCCGGGCGUAGGCGGCCGUCACCGCCGCGGCGAGCCGCGGAAUGUCCUGCCUGUGAGCUCCCUCGCCUGGACGCGAUGGAAGCCUGGCGGGGACCGGGGACCGCGCCGUCUUCCUGCCCGGGGGCGGGUGGGCGUAGUACCCGGCGCCGCGAUGGCGGUGGCGCUGUCGGGUCGCGCUCUCAACCCGCCCCGGGCUCCGGCGGGGUGGCGCCAGGCUGGAGGCCGUGGGAUUCCCGGACACCCUCCCCUUCCACAGUGGCUGGAGGAUUGAAGCCGAGACAGUGGCGAGAGGGGCGCACAGCCCAGCCCAUUCCCCAUCCCUGACGACUCCAGGACGAUCCCCUUCCCGGCUCCUUAUUCAUUCCCUGAGAUGCUCAAAGACCUGAUUUCCACUUUAACAUCCAAAUUUGGUGGGUUCUAGGAGGCCUGGGCUGGCUCAGUCCAGGGGCUGUUGACUCAUAUAACAACAGUAUCUGGCACACAGUAGGUAUGUGUGCAUCUGUUGAAUAAAUAAAAUAUUUGAACUG
rnacentral:lncRNA from 1 species